CUCCCGCCGGGAUGGGUGGCAGCUCUGGGUUCAGGGGAGCGAGGCAUGGCUGGUGAUUGAAAAGGCCCAGGACGCCCAGGCGGGGACAUACAGGUGGAGUCUGGCGGGCCUGCAGCGGAGCUUCGGAACCACCGUCCUGAACGUCUUGGAACCCCAGGACCAGCUCUUCACGCCUUCCUGGGGCCCCCAGAUGCUGCCCCCCAAGCCCACGCCCAGUCCAGAGAAGAUCCCGGUCCAACUGGCUUAUCUGGCCUUCAGCCCGGUGGCCGUCUUGUUCCUGCUGGUCUGGCUCCAAAGGCGUGCUUCCAGGAGGCGCUCCAAGGUCGCGCAGGUAC
rnacentral:lncRNA from 1 species